GAUGUCACAAUGUCCAGGACCUCAGCUGGGAACUGAAACUCACUCAAACUAGGAGUGAGAUGAAAAGCUGGUGAAGGGGGAGGGUAAUGGAAUCAUCUGGAAGCUUCUUCAUUCACACGUUUGGAGCUUUGGCUGGGAUGACUUGAAUCCUGGGCUGAGCCCAGCUGCUAUAUUGUGGGAAGCCCAAGCCACAUGAAGAGGCCAUGUAUAGGACAUUUCAGACAACAGGCCCAACUAAGCUCCCACAUGACACCAGCAUCAGCCACUAGCCAUGUGAGUGAGCCAGCUUGGAUUCUUCAGCCCAGUUGAGCCCCCAGAUGGCUGUAGCCUCAACAGACAACAGAUGGAGCAGAAUUGCUCAGUUGAGCUUAGUCAAUCCAAAGACCAGCGAGAACUAAUAAAAUGGUUGUUGUGUUAAGUCACUACGUUUUGGCAAGAUUUGUUACAUAGCAAUGGAUAACCAAAACAGGUGGGGAGUUACUCAUUCUUGGAGGAGUCCCACAGAGCCUGAAGAGUGGUUUUCUGCUCUGAGGGUGUAACUGGGGUAGGGGGCUUUUGAUGAUCCUUGAUGAGUUCAUUGCACUGGAUUAGGCCUGUAUAUAACAGUUUUCCUUGCCCCAGCUGGGAAAAACCUCACUGAGUCACAAGGCUGGGAGGAGAAACUAUGUGUGAAUGAGUUAACAGAAAUCUGGGCAAGAUUCCCAAAGUAAAUAAUGUUGAUUCUCAGCACAAGGAAGGCAUUGCUUAACGCUGCUAAAACUUGCAUAAAUAGUCAUUGCUUUAUGACUGAUCUGCUAUAUUUUCAAAUUUCAAAAAAGUAACCAUAAUAACCAUCAUUAAAAAAAAAUAACAGCACUUGGAAAUGCUUAAACACUGUGCACAGUUUCUGAGGGGCCUAAGAGGGUCCUUAUCCUUUGAACUUCAUAGUCUUGUGGGAAAGAAGUGGUGCCAAUAUGACCUUUGGGUAGCCCCAGUUGGCGUUUGGAUCUCAAAGCAAAAUCCAAUGCCUCUCUUCCACUUAAAGAGCAAAGGAGAAAGUCACCACAGUUCAGCAAGAUAGUAGCUGUUUGGCCUCAUUAACUUAGGCAUGUACCCUCGGCUCCCUCACCUCUCAGCCCUUUCUAGUCUAGUGGGUCUCCAACAGGGGGACAUCAAAAUACAUUUGGAAGUAUGUAAAAAAAAAAUUUCAAAUACUAGGGUUCCUCUGAAAAAGAUUCCCAUUCUGUAAGUCUGGGGUGGGAAUCCCAGAAUUUUCAUUUUCAUGAGAACCAGAUGAUUUUUGCACAGAUGGGCCCCAUAUGCAUCUGGAAGAGGGCUGCAACCUCAGGGCUUCCAUAAAAGCAUGGAAUGGAGAUGGGGCUCGGAAGAUUAUCUAACACCCGAAAUUUGUACUUGGAGAUUGGCUUCGCGCAGCAGGGAUGAAUGGGGACACUAAGGAAGACUGCAGAGCAGCAGUGGCUGCAGUUUCUAAACUGCCAUUUGGGACAAAGUGGCAAAGGAGAAAAUUUUUGCAAUGCUGUGGUUUAGAGUGAAUAUUUAGAACUCAAGGCUGAGGGCGACCUUGGUGGUUGUGUGUGGUUUCUGCACUGUGGGGACAUAAAUGCCUCAUUUAUGGAUGCAGACUUUGUCCAGCUGGGAAAGGUCUCCCAGCACAGGGAAGUUGAGGAAAUGCUGCAGUCUCCAUUCCUCAUUGGUGAUUUCAAAGUGUACAACCCUGCUCAAUGCUCUGAGAAGUCCUGCAGGAAAGGAACCUGCUUUAGGGUUUUUGACCCUGUGUUUCCCAAAGUUAUUUGACCUCAGAAUUCUUUUUCCCUCUUUAUAACCCUCAUUUAUACUCUGUGAAAGCCACGUUUCCAACAACCCACUUGGAAAAUGCUAUCCCAAUGUCCAGAGGAACUGGUUCUCACCCUUAAUGCCUCACGGUGAGCAGUGAUGGGGAUAUUCUGGCAGGACACAUGAUGUGGAAUCCUGCUGUGAUAAACCAGGAAAUAAAACUGUGUAUUGUGCCUGUUGGGCCCCUUCCCAUA